rnacentral:rRNA from 1 species
GCUGUCGUCAGCUCGUGUCGUGAGAUGUUGGGUUAAGUCCCGCAACGAGCGCAACCCUUGUUCACUGUUGCCAGCACGUUAUGGUGGGGACUCAGUGGAGACCGCCGGGGUCAACUCGGAGGAAGGUGGGGAUGACGUCAAGUCAUCAUGCCCCUUAUGUCCAGGGCUUCACGCAUGCUACAAUGGCUGGUACAGAGAGUGGCGAGCCUGUGAGGGUGAGCGAAUCUCGGAAAGCCGGUCUCAGUUCGGAUUGGGGUUUGCAACUUGACCUCA